rnacentral:rRNA from 1 species
AGAGGGUGCAAGCGUUGUUCGGAAUUACUGGGCGUAAAGCGAGUGUAGGCGGUUUGGUAAGUCGGAUGUGAAAUCCCUCGGCUCAACCGAGGAACUGCACCCGAUACUGUCAGACUAGAGUGUCGGAGGGGAUGGCGGAAUUCCCGGUGUAGAGGUGAAAUUCGUAGAUAUCGGGAGGAACACCCGUGGCGAAGGCGGCCAUCUGGAAGACUACUGACGCUGAGACUCGAAAGCGUGGGGAGCAAACAGGGAUUAGAUACCCUGGUAGUCCACGCCGUAAACGAUGAGUGCUAGGUGCUGUGGGUUUUGACCCCCCCCGCAGUGCCAAAGCUAACGCGUUAAGCACUCCGCCUGGGGAUACGGUCGCAAGAUUA